GGAGAAAAGCAGGGGAUCGCAAGGCCUUGCACUAUUGGAGUGGCCGAUGUCGGAUUAGCUAGUUGGCGGGGUAAAAGCCCACCAAGGCGACGAUCCGUAGCUGGUCUGAGAGGAUGAUCAGCCACACUGGGACUGAGACACGGCCCAGACUCCUACGGGAGGCAGCAGUGGGGAAUUUUGGACAAUGGGGGCAACCCUGAUCCAGCCAUGCCGCGUGAGUGAAGAAGGCCUUCGGGUUGUAAAGCUCUUUCGGCCAAGACGAAAUCGCUCUUGCUAACACCAAGGGUGGAUGACGGUACUGGAAGAAGAAGCACCGGCUAACUACGUGCCAGCAGCCGCGGUAAUACGUAGGGUGCGAGCGUUAAUCGGAAUUACUGGGCGUAAAGCGUGCGCAGGCGGUUUCGUAAGCCAGACGUGAAAUCCCCGGGCUUAACCUGGGAACUGCGUUUGAAACUACAAAGCUAG
rnacentral:rRNA from 1 species